GAUGUACGCUGGCGGCGUGCUUAACACAUGCAAGUCGAACGGAAAGGCCUCAGCUUGCUGGGGUACUCGAGUGGCGAACGGGUGAGUAACACGUGGGUGAUCUGCCCUGCACUUUGGGAUAAGCUUGGGAAACUGGGUCUAAUACCGAAUAUGACCACUUCUUGGAUGUUGUGGUGGAAAGCUUUUGCGGUGUGGGAUGAGCCUGCGGCCUAUGAGCUUGUUGGUGGGGUAAUGGCCUACCAAGGCGGCGACGGGUAUCCGGCCUGAGAGGGUGUACGGACACAUUGGGACUGAGAUACGGCCCAGACUCCUACGGGAGGCAGCAGUGGGGAAUAUUGCACAAUGGGCGCAAGCCUGAUGCAGCGACGCCGCGUGGGGGAUGAAGGCCUUCGGGUUGUAAACUCCUUUCGCUAUCGACGAAGCCACUUGUGGUGACGGUAGGUAGAUAAGAAGCACCGGCUAACUACGUGCCAGCAGCCGCGGUAA
rnacentral:rRNA from 1 species